rnacentral:misc_RNA from 1 species
AAAGGUGCAUGAGUGGUGUUUGGUUUGUUACGGGUGGUUGGCUAUUUGCUUGCGCAACAACUUCUACCUGGCAUACCUCUUCAGUCUUGUGUCAAUGCUUUUAUUGCAUUGAAUGCAUGAUGGGUUUCUUGUGUUGCAUGCCUAAUUAAUGGUAUCACUUGAUGAAUUGGUUUUCCUUUCGUCUGGCAUUGCCUAUGCGAUGUGAGAUGAACCUUGAAGCAGCCUUUGUGAUCCACUCUUUUGAUGCAUACGCAUUGAUUUUGUGGCUCAUUGAGUGUUGCUCGGUCUCAUGGAUACGGAACCUGGUGUGGGCAUGGAAUCUUAAUGGUUCCUUGUUUGCCCAAGUUUAGCUUUUCUAAAACGAUUGUCUAUCAUGUGUUAACGUGGUAGACUACUUCGAAUAUGAAUGCUACCUGG